AGCUCUGUGCAGUGGCAGUAUCAUAGCCAAUGAGGUUUAUCCGAGGCAUGAUUAUUGCUAAUUGAAAAUUUUCCUAAUACCCUGCCAUGAAGACUUGAAAUAUAGUUGGCAUUGGCAAUUUUUGAGAGUCUCUAUGGAGA
rnacentral:snRNA from 1 species